UGAGGAAUAUUGGGCAAUGCCCGAAAGGGUGACCCAGCAACGCCGCGUGGAGGAUGAAGGUCGUAAGAUUGUAAACUCCUGUUAGAGGGGAAGAAUAACUAAGUUUGGAGCUUAGUAUGACUGUACCCUCAGAGAAAGCCCCGGCUAACUACGUGCCAGCAGCCGCGGUAAUACGUAGGGGGCAAGCGUUGUCCGGAUUUACUGGGUGUAAAGGGCGCGCAGGCGGAAUGGAAAGUCAGUGGUGAAAUCCUACAGCUUAACUGUAGAACUGCCUUUGAUACUUUCAUUCUGGAGUUCGGAAGAGAGAGACGGAAUUCCAGGUGUAGUGGUAAAAUACGUAGAUAUCUGGAAGAACACCAGUUGCGAAGGCGGUCUCUUGGUCCGAUACUGACGCUGAGGCGCGAAAGCGUGGGGAGCAAACA
rnacentral:rRNA from 1 species